rnacentral:lncRNA from 1 species
GCCGGAUCUGGAGCAUGAUGGCGACGGCAAGGCUUGAUUCUGAGCCUGACGACAUCGGUAGAGGAAGACGACUGAAGAUCCGGUGACGGAAGAGUACGCUGUGUGAAUCUCGUGACGGUCUCAAAUCUGACAUAAACAGAGGUGAAAGGUGAAGCACGACCGUGAAAAGGUGAAGCACGACCGUGAAAAGGAUAAGUUUGGCGGUGACGAUCUACAUUUAGACGCAGCAGUAGACAUAAGAAGUCAGAGCUCAGAUUCAUGGCGAGUCGGAUGCGGUUAUAGACGCUACCCUCUUCAUGUGACGAUGCCUUAGCUAUU